rnacentral:rRNA from 1 species
GAUCAUGGCUCAGAUUGAACGCUGGCGGAAUGCUUUACACAUGCAAGUCGAACGGCAGCACGAGAGCUUGCUCUUGGUGGCGAGUGGCGAACGGGUGAGUAAUAUAUCGGAACGUAUCCAAUAAUGGGGGAUAACUAAUCGAAAGGUUAGCUAAUACCGCAUACGCCCUACGGGGGAAAGCAGGGGAUCUUCGGACCUUGCGUUAAUGGAGCGGCUGAUAUCUGAUUAGGUAGUUGGUAGGGUAAUGGCCUACCAAGCCGACGAUCCAUAGCUGGUUUGAGAGGAUGAUCAGCCACACUGGGACUGAGACACGGCCCAGACUCCUACGGGAGGCAGCAGUGGGGAAUCUUAGACAAUGGGGGAAACCCUGAUCUAGCCAUGCCGCGUGAUCGAUGAAGGCCUUAGGGUUGUAAAGAUCUUUCAGAUGGGAAGAUAAUGACGGUACCAUCAGAAGAAGCCCCGGCUAACUCCGUG